ensembl:lncRNA
UACACAGACUGGAGACCAGCUCUGAACACACAGAGAGACCUACACAGACUGGAGACCAGCUCUGAACACACAGAGAGACCUACACAGACUGGAGACCAGCUCUGAACACACAGAGAGACCUACAGAGAGACCUACACAGACUGGAGACCAGCUCUGAACACACAGAGAGACCUACACAGACUGGAGACCAGCUCUGAACACACAGAGAGACCUACACAGACAGACUGAGACACAGUACUAACACACACACACACACACAGCACUACCAGACACACCAGCCAUGAAGAGGAAGGAUGAAGCUCGUACCGAGGGCCUGGAUCUUAGAAAGUCCUGAUGUGACAGAAAGAAGAGACAGUACAUGUAGGAAGGACAUGCUGGUGCUCACUACAGUAGCCCCGCCCCCACCCCUCCCACAAUGCUUUGGGUUUGUUCCUGUCUCACUACAGUAGCCCCGCCCCCGCCCCUCCCACAAUGCUUUGGGUUUGUUCCUGUCUCACUACAGUAGCCCCGCCCCCGCCCCUCCCACAAUGCUUUGGGUUUGUUCCUGUCUCACUACAGUAGCCCCGCCCCCACCCCUCCCACAAUGCUUUGGGUUUGUUCCUGUCUCACUACAGUAGCCCCGCCCCCGCCCCUCCCACAAUGCUUUGGGUUUGUUGAACUCUUGUUCAUCUGGGGGGGGUUCCCUCUAAAUGGACGAGUCUCUGGACAGAAAACCUGGCUGAACAAGUGUUUCAGGUGUGGAUUUAAAUAUUCAGAUGUUUUGGUGUCGUAAACAUCCUGAUGUAUCAUAUUGAAGAGAUAUAUACAGUGUGAUGGACAUUUAACUGAACAUCAAGGACAGACGUCACUAUAUUUUAAAGGUUAUACUGUGUAUCUGGAGUCAGGGUGGAGGGGGGGGGGUAACAGGAUGUUUUAGUCAGGAAGUGGUUGAAUAUAAACUCUGGUGUUAUUAUUAUAAUUGAUCCGAUGUUAUUAACUUUAUAUAAUUAUAGAUAGUCUGUUCUAUAUAGAGGUUAUUUUGAGUCUGGUCUCAGACCACACACACACACACACACACACACACACACCAGAGAGAGACGUCUCAGACACACACACACCGAGAGAGAGACGUCUCAGACACACACACCGAGAGAGACAUCUUAGACACACACAGAGAGAGAGUGACGUCUCGGACAGACACACCGAGAGAGUGACGUCUCGGACACACACACCGAGAGAGUGACGUCUCGGACACACACACCGAGAGAGUGACGUCUCGGACACACACACCGAGAGAGUGACGUCUCGGACACACACACCGAGAGAGUGACGUCUCGGACACACACACCGAGAGAGUGACGUCUCGGACACACACACCGAGAGAGUGACGUCUCGGACACACACACCGAGUGACGUCUCGGACACACACACCGAGAGAGUGACGUCUCGGACACACACACCGAGAGAGUGACGUCUCGGACACACACACCGAGAGAGACAGACGUCUCAAUCGAGAGACGAGGUGGUCUGAUCUAGACAGAGGAGAUAUGAACCAGGUCACAUGCCCAUAUUAUUUAUCACACACAGAGACCUUGUUUCACGGUUAAUAUUUGGACCCCACGGGGGGGGGGGUGUAUGUGUGUAGUGUGUGUUUGGUAAGUCUAGGUACUGUACGGUGUGUUGUAUUUUACCCGCCCCAUCCUAUUUCAGUUCAAGAGGGUUGAUUUGUUCCAUCUCAAACACACACCUUUAUAUAGAACAGAAUAGAACAACCUCUGGUCAUAUAGAACAACCUCUGGUCAUGUAGAACAACCUCUGGUCAUGUAGAACAACCUCUGGUCAUGUAGAACAACCUCUGGUCAUGUAGAACAACCUCUGGUCAUGUAGAACAACCUCUGGUCAUGUAGAACAACCUCUGGUCAUGUAGAACAACCUCUGAACAACACUGGUCAUGUAGAACAACCUCUGGUCAUGUAGAAUAACCUCUGGUCAUGUAGAACAACCUCUGGUCAUGUAGAACAACCUCUGGUCAUGUAGAACAACCUCUGGUCAUGUAGAACAACCUCUGGUCAUGUAGAACAACCUCUGGUCAUGUAGAUCUCUUUUCGAAAUGCAAUCAUUUAAGGGCAGUGUUGUGAAGGAAGUUGUGACUAUGAUAUGUACAGAAUAAAGACAUUUGCCUAUCUGCACAGGGAGGUGGGGUAUGAUACAAUAGCAAGGAAAACACUGUCAUGACUUCACUAUUUCUGAUCACGUGUUCACUACCGGUAGUUGAAUUGAGUGCAGGUGUCUGUACCUGUGUGUAUUGAGGUGUGUAUACCUGUGUGUAUACCUGUGUGUGUAUACCUGUGUGUGUAUACCUGUGUGUAUUGGUGUGUGUAUACCUGUGUGUAUUGAGGUGUGUAUACCUGUGUGUAUUGAGUGUGUGUAUACCUGUGUGUAUUGAGGUGUGUAUACCUGUGUGUGUAUACCUGUGUGUAUUGGUGUGUGUAUACCUGUGUGUAUUGAGGUGUGUAUACCUGUGUGUAUUGAGUGUGUGUAUACCUGUGUGUAUUGAGGUGUGUAGACCUGUGUGUAUUGAGGUGUGUGUGUGUAUACCUGUGUGUCUACCUGUGUGUAUUGAGGUUUGUGUAUACCUGUGUGUAUUGAGUUGUGUAUACCUGUGUGUAUUGAGGUGUGUGUGUACCUGUGUGUGUUGAGUUGUGUAU